rnacentral:rRNA from 1 species
UACGAAGGGGGCGAGCGUUGUUCGGAGUUACUGGGCGUAAAGGGCGCGUAGGCGGCGAUCCAAGUUAGGCGUGAAAGCCCCGGGCUUAACCUGGGAAUUGCGCUUAAGACUGGACUGCUUGAGUGCGGGAGAGGUGAGUGGAAUUCCCAGUGUAGAGGUGAAAUUCGUAGAUAUUCGGAAGAACACCAGUGGCGAAGGCGACUCACUGGACAUGUAUUGACGCUGAGACGCGAAAGCGUGGGGAGCGAACAGG